GAUGAACGCUGACAGAAUGCUUAACACAUGCAAGUCGAUGGGGAAGUGGUGCUUGCACCAUGGUAACCAUGGCGGACGGGUGAGUAACGCGUAAGGAACUUGCCUGCGGGACUGGUAUAACAGCAGGAAACUGCUGAUAAUACCGGAUAAGGUCAUUAAGCUGCAUAGCUUAGUGAUGAAAGGAGACGCCUGCGGAGAGCCUUGCGUCCUAUUAGCUAGUUGGAGGGGUAACGGCCCACCAAGGCGAAGAUAGGUAGCCGGCCUGAGAGGGUGGACGGCCACAAGGGGACUGAGAUACGGCCCUUACUCCUACGGGAGGCAGCAGUGGGGAAUAUUGGACAAUGGGGGCAACCCUGAUCCAGCAAUUCUGUGUGCACGAAGACGGUUUUCGGAUUGUAAAGUGCUUUCAGCAGGGAAGAAGGAAGUGACGGUACCUGCAGAAGAAGCGACGGCUAAAUACGUG
rnacentral:rRNA from 1 species